rnacentral:lncRNA from 1 species
AAUAGUGUAGCACAAUGUGCCUUUAAUAUACUCCCCACUGCAAAUGUAUGAGGAAGAAUGGACCAGAGAGAGAGAGUUGGAGUGAAAGCGAGAGAGCAAGUGAAUGAAUUGUGCGGCUGAAGGUUGAAAAUGGUGGACAGUCUAGAGCUGCUAGCGGCUGAGUACUGUAAUGUAAGGCUUAUUAUCUCUAUUGCCCAGAGGAGUUCCUAAUGGUUGUCUCCUUCAGAGGGGCCUACACUACGUCAAUUUCCUUGGUGUAUAAUAAUUCAGGAAGAAUUCCGAUUUUGUUGGAUUUUGAUUAGAUUUACAAGCCCUAUUUUGGUGAAGUGAAAUCAAAACUAAAUGAUUCCAUGUUCUCUGAAAAGCUUUCAAACAGAAUAAGCUAGCAUUCACAUCAAAACACGAGCAAUUUUGUAACCAGCAUGACAUGUUCUACGCAAAUAGGUAUUGGAUAUUUUAUAGAGAGCAUCGCAGUAGUCCUUGAAAAAAGCUAUGGAUGGUUACAUCAGCUCUCCUGGAAAUAUAUCAUCAAUAGAUGAUGAUUUCUGGUUUAUACAAUAACAACCAGGAAGUGAUUCAUGUCUGGUCUGUGGGCAGCUUUGAAUCCUAUUACAAAUGGUUUGUACCAGUAACCUGUGUGGGAGGGAGACUGGAGGUGGGUCAGGAGUAGAGACAAGAUAGAGCUGUCGAGACACAGAGAACCAUCCCUCACUCCUCACUGUAGUGGUUAAAGGGCAUCCAGGCUCUUAAAGAAGACAUUAGCAUUUAGAUUUGAGACGCUCCCCUUUCCUAACCUCCGUAGAGGGACAGUGACUGGGGUGCAUCACCAGUACACACUACAGACUUUUAGGCCUUGAGUAGGCCCAAGUGGCAGCUCCCAGCUUCCUUCACCUGAUCAAUCUCUCAAUAGGCCCAGAUUGCUUUGGAUGACCUCCUUGUGAUGAGGCAGGAUUGGCCAUACUGAUGCUCUCCAAUCGAUAGCAGAUGGCAUCAUGGCUCAUCAACAAUGAAGUGCUUUUAAUGGAGGUCAGGGCAGGGAAAAAUCUAUUCAUUUUCAUUUGUAAAUUGCAGACAAUAUUCUAAUCAAGAUACAUUGGUAUCAGCUAACUGAGCCUCUCUCUAUGACCCCCCCAGUUGACUGACUCUUACUCUCUCUCCAUCUAUCUCUCUCUCUUUCUCUCUCCCCAUCUCUCUCUCUGAUCAUUUGUAUUCAUGAGUAUGCUGAAUCCAAUCCAUAUAGACAUUUGGCAUCACGCAUGCCUAUAAAUGUACACAUUUCACAUCAGAUAAAGACAAGCUUUACCUCAUGGUGCCAUUCAAAUUUUAUGUCAGGCCUCCCCUUUUCAGAUGCAUCUCCUCAAUGUCCCUCAGUCAGGGUGAUGUCAUUCCAUGCUCCUUUGCCAAGGCAGCUCAGCUCACUCAGAGAAACGCCCUUCCACAUGUUUCACCUCAUUAACCGAUGAUUGAAAAGAUGACAAAUAUGACAUGUGCAAUUUAUUAUCUUAAUGAAUUCACUCUCCUCUGUCAGAGACAGGUAGGGCAGCGGAGCUAUGGACUCGACGGGUUUGGUGAGAUGUUGUGAUUGUAAGAAAGUGAACACUGUGUGGAAUGCUCCGAUUAGUAGAACAAUGCUGCUUUUUUAUCUCUCUUUUCAUCUCUGAUCAAUUUGUCUCAAAUCAAAUCAAAUUGUGUUUGUCACAUGUGCCGAAUACAACUGGUGUAGACUUUACCAUGAAAUUCUUGUUUACGAGCCCUUCUCAAGGAUGCAGUUUUAAAAAUAAUAAUACAAAUAAAAUAGUAACACAAGAGGAAUAAAAUAAAAUACUCCCUGUAUAUAACUCCGUUAUUGUGUAUCAGUACCAGAUCAAUGUGGAGUUAUAUACAGGGAGUACCAGUACCAGAUCAAUGUGGAGCUAUAUACAGGGAGUACCAGUACCAGAUCAAUGUGCAGUUAUAUACAGGGAGUACCAGUACCAGAUCAAUGUGCAGAGGUACGAGGUAGAUAUGUACAUGAAGGCCGGGUAAAGUGACUAGGCAUCAGGUUAGAUAAGAAUAAAAUAAAGAACAGAGUAGCAGCAGCAAAUGAUGUGUAAAAGUGUGUGCGUGAGUUUACGUGUGUGUUAUGUGUAUGUAUGUGUGUUUGUGUUGUUCCGGUAUGCGCGUGUGUUAUGUGUGUGUGUGUGGGUGUGUGUAUGUAGUGUAUAUAACCACAGUAAUAUGCACAGAGGGGAUAUUUUCAUCACUGCAAUUGGAAUGGAAUGUGGCCGUCAGUUGUGAUUGUGCACAGACGAACCUGGCUGCCCUUGUACCUAGUGCAUUGCGUGAGGGAGGCCAUGCAAUGCCCAUGGUGUGUGAAGACUUUGAAUAGUGGAGAGAAGGGGCAGGUCCAGGGGACACUGUCUGCGCAGAAGGCAUCGUGCUUGCUGAGCUGUGACCAAUCCAAUGGGCACUGGAGAUCGCUGCACACCUUUUCAAAUGGAUUACGCCCUUUCUUUUCCACAGAGUGAAAUUGCCAAAAAAGUAUUCUGUCAUUGUUGUCCUGAAUGGGAAAUAGGUCACAGCCAUUAUAGAAAUAUUCAAGUCAAGGAUACUGACAAUGAAAUAGAAAUAUGUGUGUUUUUGUCUGCUCUGAAAUCACUGGAAAGGUGUAGGACUCUGUUUAGAGGGGAAUUUGCUGAAAACAUUUUAGUUCAAGGUCUGUUGUAGCCUCGUCAAAUGUAGCUAGAGAAGUGUAUCAGUGAAUGAUUGAGAAUAAUCAGUAAAGAGUGGCAAUGGUAUAAUCCUCCACAGGAAAGACAAGCACCCCAUCCCCUUCAACCCCCCUUUCUUUUUCAGUCUCUGAAGUGUCCCCAUUGAUUUAUCAGUAUUCUAUUUUUAGGUGCAUGAAACGGUAAUUGAUUCAUUGGAAUUAACAAUGACUCAUGUGUAGCUUUCAUCAGAGAUAUCAGAAGCUAGAUUAAUGCUCUGAGAAUCAGUCAUAUAAACUCCCCUAUUAUUUAUAACACUGUAUUUCUCCCACUGCAUAAACGCACUCACUUUUAACUGAUGACAUCGCUCAUUAAAGUGGUAGCGACCCCUUUGAGUUAAAGCUCAAGUCCCCUGCUCUGUCUCAACCCACCCUCUUCAGCACCUGAGAAAACCAACAAACCCUCCACUGAAAAGCUCUCCUUUCCCUAUGUUCUACAGCCACCCACUAGCAGAGAGCUGGUGGGUACAGCGGAGGAAGGGGGUAUUGCCCACGCUAUCCAUGAGGGUUGGCAGCGGUCUGGGUAGCGGGGUUGGCUUUUCAUGCCUCUCUGCUGUCUCUGGUGUCAUUUGAUCGCAGCGUGGGUGCUGGGGGUGUGCCGUGGUCGGCAGGGAUUAGGCAGAGCGACACAGCAGAUCGCGGCUGUAUUGGUGGCAGCCAUGGAGGUAAUCCCUGUGUGCCUGCCUCAGGACACUGCUGUGGCUCUGCCUGACUCUCUCUCUUCAUAUGGAGCUGUUUGUCUGGGUUUUGUUUGGUUGUGUACGACCUCUGCUGGCCUCCACAAGGUGGGCCCCAUGUUCACUACAUGGACACUGAGAGCCUGCCACUACGUAACCAUAUUAUCUAAACACCAUGUUAACAGGAUCAAUGCAGUGCACUGUCCCUUCACCCAGUAUUGUGUCAUCACUGAAGGGAAUUAUGAUUCAAUUCACCUAUGACUAUGAGCUAUGAUGAGAGAAACAUGUUAUGUCUGAAUGAUAGACUAUUAUUAUUAUUAUGAGGUUUAUAUGUAAUGGUUUCCAACAUGAGGGUUGUUGACAAGUCUGACCUGGUUACAUAAUAUUUCAUUGCAUUCUUGAAUGUAACCACAUCUCAGAUAACAACAGAUGCACAAUGACUCAAUGCUGUAUAAUACAGUAUGUGUUAUAUUAAUGGCAAAAAGUGAAAUAGCUGGAAACCAAUGGCUGGAAACCAUUUAAAACAGUAUUUUGGGAAUCAUUUUUGGGAAAUAGUGUUAUGGCUUAAUUCCACAUUGUUUUAUAUCCAUUUACAACUGGACCCUUCCAUAAUAUUUUAGACAUUUUAAAUAUGCCACCUAUCAAAUCAAAUCAAAUGUAUUUAUAUAGCCCUUCUUACAUCAGCUGAUAUCACAAAGUGCUGUACAGAAACCCAGCCUAAAACCCCAAACAGCAAGUAAUGCAGGUGUAGAAGUGUCGAAGCACGGUGGCUAGGAAAAACUCCCUAGAAAGGCCAAAACCUAGGAAGAAACCUAGAGAGGAACCAGGCUAUGAGGGGUGGCCAGUCCUCUUCUGGCUGUGCCGGGUGGAGAUUAUAACAGCACAUGGCCUAGAUGUUCAAAUGUUCAUAAAUGACCAGCAUUGUCAAAUAAUAAUAAUCAUAGUAGUUGUCGAGGGUGCAACAAGUCAGUAACACAGGAGUAAGUGUCAGUUGGCUUUUUCAUAGCCGAUCUUUGAGAGUAUCUCUACCGCUCCUGCUGUCUCUAGAGAGUUGAAAACAGCAGGUCUGGGAUAGGUAGCACGUCCGGUGAAUAGGUCAGGGUUCCAGCAGGUCUGGGACAACAGGUCUGGGACAGGUAGCACGUCCGGCGAACAGGUCAGGGUUCCAUAGCUGCAGGCAGAACAGUUGGAACUGGAGCAGCAGGACGGCCAGACUACACUUAAUCAUAGGACCUACUGAAGAGAUAUGUCUUCAGUAAAGACUUAAAGGUUGAGACUGAGUCUGCGUCUCUCACAUGGGUAGGCAGACUAUUCCAUAAAAAUGGAGCUCUAUAGGAGAAAGCCCUGCCUCCAGCUGUUUGCUUAGAAAUUCUAGGAACAAUUCGGAGGCCCGCGUCUUGUGACCGUAGCGUACGUGUAGGUAUGUACGGCAGGACCAAAUCGGAAAGAUAGGUAGGAGCAAGCCCAUGUAAUGCUUUGUAGGUUAGCAGUAAAACCUUGAAAUCAGCCCUUGCCUUAACAGGAAGCCAGUGUAGGGAGGCUAGCACUGGAGUAAUAUGAUCAAAUUUUUUGGUUCUAGUCAGGAUUCUAGCAGCCGUAUUUAGCACUAACUGAAGUUUAUUUAGUGCUUUAUCCGGGUAGCCGGAAAGUAGAGCAUUGCAGCAGUCCAACCUAGAAGUAACAAAGGCAUGGAUUCAUUUCCUUUAACACACCAUAUAGACAGGUUGGUUGUUUACAAGCAAAACCAAUGUGUGUGCAACUAUGGGGCAAAACAGAUUGUUGACAACAUGUAAGAUAUAUUUCGUCUCCAAUGUUUAUUGAAAACAUAAAUACAUUUGCACAAUGAGCACUUGUUGUCUCUCAAAUACAUCGUUACAGUUGUUGGUUAGCUAGCUAGCAAAUUUUAGCAUUGACAAGAAAUCAGUCAAAACAAGACAUGGUAUCAAGAACAAGAUGAAACGAGCUAAAACGAUUCCCCACGUGGAGGUUUCUUGUCAUUCUUGCUAGCAAUCUGGCCAUCCAGAAUCACAAGGACACGCUGACUUCUGCCCUAUGGAAGCGUGCACAUUGUUUUUGUGACAUUGUCAGCUAACCCAUCUAUAAACAGUAUGUUUAUUUAAAGGGAUAGUUUGAGAUUUUUGCAAUGAAGCCCUUUAUCUACUUCCCCAGAGUCAGAUGAACUCAUGGGUACCAUUAUGAUGUCUCUGCAUUCAGGUUGAAGGAAGUUGCCAACUAGCGUUAGCGCAAUUACUGAACUAUCCCUAUAACAACCCUCCCUCUAACCAGUGUUUCAUAUUAAUAAUUCAUUUCUCCCGCUGCCCCCUGUGGAAGGUAUUGUGACAGUGUAUGGCACUUCAAACCUAGAAAAUAUGACAUCGUUCCAGCAUCCCACUCUACAUGAUAAUAACAUUGUUUUGAUAAAAAAUUCUGUGUGAAAUAUUAACAAGGAGUCCACAAGCUCUUACUUUAGCAGCCGCCAUACUGCUAUGAAUGACAAAUCAGUGUGAGGAUGAGUUUGAACAUGCCUCCGUUUGCAUAUGUGAAGUUUCCACUAUGUAUCAGCACAGGAGAACCGCUGAGUAGUUGAUUUGAUUUGAAAAGAUCCACACUUUUUGUCCUCACUAGUUUUAUGAACUUAUCUUAACUGAGGUUGACCUUAAUUGAGCUGUUGCUCAAAAGUAUCUCUAUGAGAUGUGUGCACUCCUAAAGGUAUUUAUUUGAUGUAUACUGAACAAAAAUAUAAACGUGACAGGUAAAGUGUUGGUCCCAUGUUUUAUGAGCUGAAAUAAAAGAUCACAGAAAUGUUCCAUAUCCACAAAAUACUUAUUUCUCAAAAAUGUUUACAUCCCUGUUAGUAAGCAUUUUUCCUUUGCCAAGAUAAUCCAUCCACCUAACAGGUGUGGCAAAUCAAGAAGCUGAUUAAACAGCAUGAUCAUUACACAGGUGCACCUUGUACUGUGGACAAUAAAAGGCCACUCUAAAAUGUGCAGUUUUGUUACACAACACAAUGAUGUGUCAAGUUUUGAGGGAGUGUGCGGUUGCCAUGCUGUUUGCAGGUUUUUUCACCAGAGCUGUUGCCAGAUAAUUUAAUGUUCAUUUCUCUACCAUAAGCCGUCUUCCAACGUUGUAUUAGAGAAUUUGGCAGUACGUCCAACCAGCCAUACAACCGCAGACCACGUGUAACCACGCCAGCCCAGGACCUCCACAUCCGGUUAGACCAUGUGUAACCAUGCCAGAUCAGGACAUCUACAUCCAGCUUUUUCCCCGUGCCAGCCACCCAAACAGCUGCACAAACUGUCAGAAACCAUCUCAGGGAAGCUCAUUUUCAUGCUCGUCGCCCUCACCAGGGUCUUGACCUGACUGCAGUUUGACUUCGUAAUAGGGCUGGGCGAUAUGGACCAAAAGUCAUAUCCCGAUAUAUUUAGGCUGAAUAUCAAUAUAAGAUAUAUAUCCCGAUAUUUUUUCCGCAAAGUGAGAGCAAAUGAUCAGUCAAAGUCAAAGCCAGAUAUGACAUGUCUCAAGUAGUUUUAUUGAAACCGGCUAUUUCAGUGAACAGUGAACAGUUGAAAAAUCAAAUGAAUAAAUAAUAAACAGGGCUCUUCACCUGGUUCAGAUUAAAUGCUCAGUUGUUCAAAUAACA